AGAAUUGGCUGACAAAGUGAACGUCUUGAAGAGAUACCUCAAGACAGUUGAAUGAAGACUAAAAAACUGAACUUGAAACUAGAGUCAUACAUCACUGAAGUCUGCUGAGAUGGAAGAGCCAAUUCAAUAAUUUGACACCAAUAUACACUAAAAUCCUGGACAUUGAAAAAGAGAAAAAUGAAUAAGAAAUGGAAUGAAUUAAGGGCUAUGUUCCCACCAGCUGUUCUGGUGACAUUCAAGUCCUUGGAUGUAAACAUCAGUCAAGGAAAGAAACAGAUAAGGGGA